rnacentral:rRNA from 1 species
GACAGAGGGUGCAAACGUUGCUCGGAAUCACUGGGCGUAAAGGGCGUGUAGGCGGGACGGCAAGUCAGAUGUGAAAUCCCCAGGCUCAACCUGGGAACUGCAUUUGAAACUCCCUUUCUUGAGUACCGGAGAGGAAAGUGGAAUUCCUGGUGUAGAGGUGAAAUUCGUAGAUAUCAGGAGGAACACCGGUGGCGAAGGCGGAUCUCUGGGCCUUACCUGACGCUCAGGCGCGAAAGCUAGGGGAGCGAACAGG